UCAUUUAUAAGAAGACACAAUUCUCUGUGUGGGCACUUGCCAUGACUUUAUUUUAGAAUGUUUCUUUGUGCAUGUGGUAGGGAAAACAUUGAUGUUUAACAGAAAUUCACUCAUUUGCUUGCAGGUUAAAGACUACAUGAGACUUUGACAGAUGGCGGGAAACCCUCAUCCACUGGUAGAGGAAUGUCUGCGACUAAGCCGAGGGCCACUGGAUAAGGGUUGUUGAUGGUAAAACAGGUUAAAGACUACAUGAGACUUUGACAGAUGGCGGGAAACCCUCAUCCACUGGUACGAACCCGGUAAAUUGAUGGCUGUAAAACAGUGACCGCUGAUUCGCAUCGAGUUCUUUCUUGCAAAACGCAUGACCCCCCUUUUUUAUUGUCUAAAUCAUUGCGGCUUGGAAUGCUCUUUAAGAAAAGGUAUGGUUAUGGGGGUCUCUAUGCGCAAAAGUUUGACUUUAUUUUUUGUUGAAGUUAUUGCUUUUACAUUGAAUUUGUGUAGGAAAUCUUUUGGUAUAUUGUAA